rnacentral:rRNA from 1 species
ACGGGUGAGUAAUACAUCGGAACGUACCCUGUCGUGGGGGAUAACUAACCGAAAGGUUAGCUAAUACCGCAUACGACCUGAGGGUGAAAGCGGGGGAUCGCAAGACCUCGCGCGAUAGGAGCGGCCGAUGUCAGAUUAGCUAGUUGGUGAGGUAAAGGCUCACCAAGGCGACGAUCUGUAGCGGGUCUGAGAGGACGGCCCGCCACACUGGAACUGAGACACGGUCCAGACUCCUACGGGAGGCAGCAGUGGGGAAUUUUGGACAAUGGGGGCAACCCUGAUCCAGCCGUUCCGCGUGAGUGAAGAAGGCCUUCGGGUUGUAAAGCUCUUUCGGCAGGAACGAAACGGUGGGAGCUAAUACCUCUCGCUAAUGACGGUACCUGAAGAAGAAGCACCGGCUAACUACGUGCCAGCAGCCGCGGUAAUACGUAGGGUGCGAGCGUUAAUCGGAAUUACUGGGCGUAAAGCGUGCGCAGGCGGUUUUGUAAGACAGAUGUGAAAUCCCCGGGCUUAACCUGGGAACUGCGUUUGUGACUGCAAGACUUGAGUGCGGCAGAGGGGGGUGGAAUUCCACGUGUAGCAGUGA